UUCACGUAAAAUCCAUUUGUUAGUUUGUUAAUUUUCUUCGUUUCAUUACAUUUUAUCUAGCUUUUAUUUACUUAUUUGGUUCAUAAAUCAAAUUACUGAACAAUCUGUUUGCAUAAUUACAGCUAUCUACAAGUUAGCCGACCCUAGGUAGCUUGUUGUUGAACUAACCCAAUUUCAACAAACACGGUCCAACUAUUUUUGUUGUUUCUGUUUUGAUCGUCUUUAUAGCUUAUAGUUGAAAAGUUAGAUUUGGUAGAUGUGGAAAAAGCACAUCCUUUGUAGUACACAACUGACCUUCAAAUCUGUGAGUUUACACGCAUACACAUAUAUAUAAGCCCAUAUGAAGAAUCAUUGCAUUCUCUCAUCUUAGCUCUCCAGAAUUGUUGAGGAGAAUGCAGUCUGGUCCGAGAGCAUCGUUUGAAUAGAUUGAUCUCGGACCAGGCUUCAUUCUCGCCAGCUCUUCGAUUAGCUCAGCAUGCUGUAUUACCUAGUUCAUAUACAACAAGUAAGUUCUCAUCUAUUUCUCAAGUGCUUUUGUUUGUUUUUCUUUUUAUUUGUUGGAAUUAUGCACCUCCACUGGGUCUGGAAAGAUGCAAGUCGAAGAAGGCAAAGCCGUACAUGGGAGAUUAGACCAGUUGGUGGCUCAGAAGACUAGCAACAACUCAUGGCUAAGGAGGGCGAACGACAAGAAGUGGUAGACGUUUUCAACUAUCUACAAUUCAAGAGAACGAGAGACGGUUAUGGCAAAGUAAGGCGAGUGACAAAAGUUACAGCGGAAAGGGAUGAAGAACAAAGGAUACACACGCGAGAGGAAAAAUAAAAUAACGAUGAAGUAGAUUUUGUAUUUAUUUUCUUAAAAUCCUUUCUUUACUUUAAGGUUAUUUAAGGUUAUGUUAAAGAUCGAAGCAUAAACAUGAACUAGAAAUUUUUAAGGUUCAAGAUAAA